rnacentral:piRNA from 1 species
AGCCAAAACGCAGGCCUAACCCGUCUGAGC